rnacentral:tRNA from 1 species
GCCUUCGUGGUGUAGCGGUCAGCACGCUGGGCGCGUAUUCCAGAGGUCCGUGGUUCGAGUCCCGGCGAGGGCA